CGGAGAUGGGCAAUGUGGAAAGAUGGCAACAGCUUCUGGCUGAGCAGGAAGGAAGUGGGGAUCGCUUACCCUGGAAGGAGACUACUUUAGAUCUGAAGGACAAUGUUUUCAGUUGAACUACUGAGCCUCAUCCAUUUUUGGGCUUCUGUCCGUUAUCUAAGAGGUCUCCCUGUCCCCAGCCUUGCUCUUUCUGACACCUGCUUCACCGUGUCUCCAGGAUCACCUUUCCAGCAUGCAGGUCUGACCGCAGCACUGUCUUCUUGAAAGUCCACAGGACGCACUCUCAGCUCCCAGCUCGGUGCUCAGUGCCCUGCCGGGUGUGAUCUUGGCCAUGGCUCCUGUUUCACCUCCUGCAACUUUCCACCUCUCCCUCCCAAUGGGCUCCAGGAGCACGCGGAGUUUUGAGCUUCCUCCCACACAUGAUGGUCUUGCACCUCACAAAAGCACUGCUCCUGCUGUCAGGAACGGCUCCUUCUCCACUGCAACCCCCUCUUCACUCUCACCCUCACCCUGACCCUGCUAUGUGAACAGCGGGCUUCUGCUUUUCCUUCAGAGCACACUUGAGGAAUGGUGAAGCUGUCUUAGAUGCUGUUAGAGCUGAAUCGUGUUCCCCAGAAUUCGUGUAUUUGAUUCCUAACCCCCAGCACCCCAGAAUGUGACUAUACUUGGAGACAGGGCCUUUAAAGAGGAAAUGAAGUUAAAAUGUGGCCGUUGGUUUGGGCCCUGAUCCAUUCCGGCUGGUGUCCUCAUAAAAAGAGGAAACUUUGACACGUGAAGAGACACCAGGAUACAGGCACAGAGGGAAGGCCGCAUGCAGACACUGAAGGAGGUGGCCGUCUGUAAGCCAGAGGGCCUCAGAGGAAACCAGCCCUGCCAGCACUCUCGUCUUCGACCUCCAGCCUCCAGAACUCUAAGGAAAUAAAUUUCUGUUCCUUAGGCCACCUGGUCUGCGGUAUUUUGUUAUGGUAGCAGAGCAAAUUCAUACAGAUGCCCAUAGAAUAGCCUUGAUUUAGGUGUUCCCUAUAAGACAGACAUAAGCUGUCUGUGACAUUGGCAGCUCCUAUUAGGCGGGGCUCAGGGACUCUCCUUAUUCUUCACUCUAAGUCCUACACAACUGCUGGAAACAUGUGUUAAUAAACAUCACAGUCAAGAACUUCUCAGUGAGCACGUGGGCACACGGGUAUCCUUGGUGUCUG
rnacentral:lncRNA from 1 species